GGCGCUAUGGUCAAGCGGCUAAGACGCUGCCCUCUCAAGGCGGAAUCAGGGGUUCGAUUCCCCUUAGCGCUACCA
rnacentral:tRNA from 1 species